GCGCAGCAGGCGAGAAACCUCCGCAAUACACGAAAGUGUGACGGGGUUACCCAAAGUGUCCAAAUUUGGACUGUGGUAGGUGAGUAAUGUCCCCUACUAGAAAGGAGAGGGCAAGGCUGGUGCCAGCCGCCGCGGUAAAACCAGCUCUUCAAGUGGUCGGGAUAAUUAUUGGGCUUAAAGUGUCCGUAGCCGGUUUAGUAAGUUCCUGGUAAAAUCGGGUAGCUUAACUAUCUGUAUGCUAGGAAUACUGCUAUACUAGAGGGCGGGAGAGGUCUGAGGUACUACAGGGGUAGGGGUGAAAUCCUGUAAUCCUUGUAGGACCACCAGUGGCGAAGGCGUCAGACUGGAACGCGCCUGACGGUGAGGGACGAAAGCCAGGGGAGCGAACCGGAUUAGAUA
rnacentral:rRNA from 1 species